rnacentral:rRNA from 1 species
CGNUUGANNNGCCGGAGGNUACUGCUAUCGGAGUUCGAUUANNCCAUGCGAGUNUAAAGGUUUCUUCGGAAGCCUUGGCGGACUGCUCAGUANCNNNGUGGNUAACNNNCCCUUGGGACUGGANUAACCCCGGGAAACUGGGGAUAAUANNGNAUAGAUCAGGGAUGCUGGAAUGCACCNNGAUCCAAAGCUCCGGCGCCCAAGGAUGGGUCUGCGGCCUAUCAGGUUGUAGUGGGUGUAACGUACNUACUAGCCGACGACGGGUACGGGUUGUGAGAGCAAGAGCCCGGAGAUGGAUUCUGAGACACGAAUCCAGGCCCUACGGGGUGCAGCAGGCGCGAAACCUUUACAAUGUGCGAAAGCAUGAUAAGGGAACUCCGAGUGCCAGUAUCUAAUACUGGCUGUCCUUGUGCCUAAACCGCACAAGAUAGCAAGGGCCGGGUAAGACCGGUGCCAGCCGCCGCGGUAACACCGGCGGCCCGAGUGGUAGCCGCUAUUAUUGGGUCUAAAGGGUCCGUAGCCGGUUCGAUAAGUCCUCUGGGAAAUCUGGUUGCUUAACAAUCAGACUGCCAAGGGAUACUGUUGAACUUGAGACCGGGAGAGGUAAGAGGUACUUCAGGGGUAGGAGUGAAAUCUUGUAAUCCUUGGGGGACCAUCUGUGGCGAAGGCGCCUUGCCAGAACGGGUCCGACGGUGAGGGACGAAAGCUAGGGGAGCAAACCGGAUUAGAUACCCGGGUAGUCCUAGCUGUAAACGAUGCUCGCUAGGUGUCAGGUACGGUGCGACCGUGUCUGGUGCCGCAGGGAAGCCGUUAAGCGAGCCACCUGGGAAGUACGGUCGCAAGGCUGAAACUUAAAGGAAUUGGCGGGGGAGCAC